rnacentral:lncRNA from 1 species
ACUUCUGAAAGAAUGCUGCGGGAGAGGAGGAAGGAGAGCAUCCUGGCUUCUGGCAGCAGAGCCCCACUGUGACAGGACCUAGCAUUCACCUUCCUCUUCUGUUCCGAGUGCGAGAAGACUUCAGGGACCUCUGUUUCAUGGACAUUAUCAUAUUCUUCUCAAGAGUACCCAGCAAGAGGUUUGCAAAGAGGAGUUAUUCAGUGAGUAAGUGAUUCAUGUAGCUCUCCAACAGGCAUCUGGAUUUUGGGUGCUACAGCUUGCAAUUAGAGAACAAAAUAGAAGGAUUAUCCACAGUCCUUGUCUGUUAUCUCACGUUUGGUGGGCUGUAGAAUCCAUCAACUUUUUCAGGGUAUUCAAAAGUUGAUGAACAAUUGUGGAUAAUAUUGUCAAGAUCUAAAACAAACU